rnacentral:rRNA from 1 species
AUGAUCUUCAACGAUGAUGGCACAUAUGACUCCAUGAGUGAAGAAGAAAUGGAAGCACCUGAGCACGUGGCCAUGCACCCGCGCGUGAAUGAAGAUGAUCAAGUCUUUUGUGACAAUGAUUCAAGUCCCUCUCUCGUGGUCUCCAAGGUCUUGACGCUCCAACACCACCAAGAAGAAGACCAACGGUGCCACAUCUUCCACACCAAGGCCGGCAUCAACGGGCGUUCCGCGAAAGUCAUCAUCGACGGAGGAAGUUGUCACAACUUGGCAAGUGAAGAGAUAUGUUCCAAGCUGCAAUUGAUCAAGAAGGAGCAUCCUCGUCCCUACAAGGUGCAAUGGCUAAGCGACUCCAGCACUAUUCAAGUGGAGCAUCCGGUGCAAGUUUCCUUUAAGAUCGGCGCCUACGAGGACACCUUGGAGUGCGACGUGGUUCCUAUGUCCGUGUGCCAUCUUCUCUUGGGAAGACCUUGGCAAUUCGACCGCGGCGUCAUCCUCAACGGAAGAACUAACCACUAUAGCUUCAAGAUGAAG